rnacentral:rRNA from 1 species
CCUACGGGUGGCAGCAGUGAGGAAUAUUGGUCAAUGGACGAGAGUCUGAACCAGCCAAGUAGCGUGAAGGAUGACUGCCCUAUGGGUUGUACACUUCUUUUAUAAAGGAAUAAAACGAGGCACGUGUGCCUUUGUGCAUGUACUUUAUGAAUAAGGAUCGGCUAACUCCGUGCCAGCAGCCGCGGUAAUACGGAGGAUCCGAGCGUUAUCCGGAUUUAUUGGGUUUAAAGGGAGCGUAGAUGGGUUGUUAAGACAGUUGUGAAAGUUUGCGGCUAAACCGUAAAAUUGAAAUUGAUACUGGCAGUCUUGAGUACAGUUGAGGUAGGCGGAAUGCGUGGUGUAGCGGUGAAAUGCUUAGAUAUCACGAAGAACCCCGAUUGCGAAGGCAGCUUACUAAACUGUGACUGACAUUGAUGCUCGAAAGUGUGGGUAUCAAACAGGAUUAGAUACCCCUGUAGUC